rnacentral:lncRNA from 1 species
CAGUUGCUCAUUAGGAGUUAAUGCUUGCCACGGGCAUGAAUAUGGUAGUCGAAAGUAGCGGCUUUUUUGCCCCAAGGAUAACUCAUGCAUCAGAAGGUAGGCCUCCUUCGCAAGAUGGGUUAACAUUGGCAUUGGGCAAAAGAAUUCAAGUGUAUAGAUUGUGUUACCAUAGAUAAACCCUAUAUGGGUGCAUUUAUACUGUGGGGAGAGAAAGCCUUUUAAGAUAGAAUCCUCGUUCUAAGUCGAGAGAAUCCUAGAAGAUAUCUAGUAAGUAGAUGUUGCUUCCUCUUAGGAGUUGUGAUUACUUUCGGUGCAUGCCUAUCCCUAAAUUAUAGGCACUCCAUGACUUAUAGGAUAUGAUUGUGUCCAUAGCCAGAUCAAAUUCCUUGUCUUGCGGAACAAGUAUGGUCAUCUAGCGAGGUCGCUAGGACUUCGCCUAGUGCCCUGGAAUAAAGUAAUGGUGGCACACUGCUCCAUCUAAUAUAGCUCUUCCCAAACUACUCCUUCUGAUACAACUCUUCACAGAGCUGGUGAGUCCAUGACCAAACUUCUGAGGUAAUAGUAUUCAGAUCAGACUUACCCCGUCCUGGAAAAUCAUGGUCCCCCAAUAACUAACAAGUUGCCCCAAAGAGAACAUAAAAAGAAUUAUCAACCUGCUGAAAUACUUUCGUAUAACUUAGAAUAGCCAUAUAGAGUAUAAAGGGGCUCUAUAAGUUUUUUAUGGGCUUAAGGCUUGAGUUCAAGAAUGUUAGAUUAACAUCGAGUUCCUCUAUCAAACAUUAAGCAGUUGCUAAUGCGAGAUCCAAGGAGACUUUCGACUUGAGCCCUUUUACUUAGGUUGGGUGUUGGGGGUUGAUUUAGGGUGCUUCAGAUCAAGUUCUUGCAGUUGAACAUACUUCGGGAUAUCGACCUUGUGGAGCCAAAAAUAAUCACAAGACGACACGUGGAUUUUUUAGUAAAAGAGGACCAAACUACCCUUGAGGCACAUCGAGAUUCCUACACUCGAGCAGCUCAAAAAUGCUCCAAAAAGGUAACAAUUCAAUAUUCAUCUCAUCAAAUCCCGUAACCUCCAAAAUAUUUACUCCAAAAUUAUAUUAAUUGGUUAAUUAAUGGAUUCAUUACCCAAUUAAUCCUUUAAACAUCAAUUAAAACAUCCAAAUAACCACAACAUAUAUCCCACUCAAUCCCAAAACUAGUGAUGGACCGGCCACCCCCUUUUUCCCUAACUUUUCACACUUUUUUCCAUUUUAUUACCCUAUUUACACAACUAUUCAAUUUUGUAACCUCCUAUUUAUUUCUUUUAUAC